AAAAUAAGGAAGGAUGCAAAUUCAUGUUCUGACAGCUCAUUCAAUGAAUCUGCAGGCAAUGAGACAUUCUGGUGUGGUUUACUAUUCAAUACAAGGAAUUCUGUUAUUUUCUAGAGUUUCAUCAACACAAGUGUUACAAGCAUACUGUUGUUUUCAUUCUACUGUUGAUUUUAGAUUUCUACAUUUCAGGACAGGUCAUCAUACCAUCGGGGGAAAAUGA
rnacentral:lncRNA from 1 species